rnacentral:rRNA from 1 species
UACGAAGGGGGCUAGCGUUGCUCGGAAUCACUGGGCGUAAAGGGUGCGUAGGCGGGUCUUUAAGUCAGGGGUGAAAUCCUGGAGCUCAACUCCAGAACUGCCUUUGAUACUGAGGAUCUUGAGUCCGGGAGAGGUGAGUGGAACUGCGAGUUGUAGAGGUGAAAAUUCGUAGAUAUUCGCAAGAACACCAGUGGCGAAGGCGGCUACUGGCCCGGUACUGACGCUGAGGCACGAAAGCGUGGGGAGCAAACAGG